rnacentral:rRNA from 1 species
CCUAAGGCGAGGCCGACAGGCGUAGUCGAUGGACAUCGGGUUGAUAUUCCCGAACCGAUCGUAGGAGGACCCAUACCGAGGCAGUCGAUGCUAACCACCCGAGUUUUCCCCAUGCCCUUCGGGGUGUGGAGGUUGACGAGGCUGGGAACCAAGGUUGUAGUAGGUCAGCGCGAGGAAUGACGCAGAGAGGUAGCUUCCGCGGACUUAAUGGAAUAGUCCGUCUAAGCGUGCAGCCCGACCCCGGGUAAUGCUGGGGUCAUCAAGGGUCAGACGUGAUGGGGAUCCCGUAUGGGCGUAGGUGAGUGAUCCUGUACUGCCUAGAAAAGUUCCGGCGUGACGAAUACGGUCGCCCGUACCCUAAACCGACUCAGGUGAUCAGGUAGAGAAUACCGAGGCGUUCGAGAGAAUCGUGGUUAAGGAACUCGGCAAAAUGCCCCCGUAACUUCGGGAGAAGG